AGGAUGAACGCUGGCGGCGUGCUUAACACAUGCAAGUCGAACGAUGAAGCCGGAGCUUGCUCUGGUGGAUUAGUGGCGAACGGGUGAGUAACACGUGAGUAACCUGCCCUUGACUCUGGGAUAAGCGUUGGAAACGACGUCUAAUACCGGAUACGACGCGCGAGGGCAUCUUCUGCGCGUGGAAAGAAUUUCGGUCAAGGAUGGACUCGCGGCCUAUCAGCUAGUUGGUGAGGUAACGCCCACCAAGGCGACGACGGGUAGCCGGCCUGAGAGGGUGACCGGCCACGACUGGACUGAGAGACGCCCAGACUCCUACGGGAGGCAGCAGUGGGGAAUCUUGCGCAAGUGGCCGAAAGGCUGGACGCAGCGACGCCGCGUGGUGGGAGGACGCCGUUUCGGGUAGUAAACCACGUGUUCGGCCCGGGAACGAACACGUCCCGUUUU
rnacentral:rRNA from 1 species